ensembl:lncRNA
GCCACCUUUAGUCUUGUGAUGAAGCAAAGCUCAGGAAGAAGUGUGAUUAAAUGGUACCCACAUGUGUGCUGCUGAGAAGGAUGGACAGGGGCACCUGCAGCCAAAUCCAAGCCUCCUCAGAGCAGAGCGGCAGUUUGUGCUCACAGAUGGUGACGGUGUGGAGAGACGGUGGUGUUUCCUCAGAAGAACUAGCAGAGUCACAAAGGGCACGAGUCCAUCUCACCACCUUGACUUGCUGACUGAUGCUCGUCUGCACUGCACAGAGGAAAUCAACUGACCGAGGAGUGUUUCUGAGUGAGGGAGAGAGGAGUCAUCAUCCAGGUAAAGUGACGUGGAUCAGUGGACACACUUGUCUCCGCUUUAAAGGAGCCACUCUUAGAGAGAGACGAUCCGAGUCAUCCUUAAAUAUGGGCAGGAUAUCAGUCUUGGACUGUCUAACCUGCCGGAGCAGCACUGAAUAACCACCACACAUGAGCAUGUUCCUGCAACAUUCAGCAUCUGAUCUGCCAUCUGUGUGCUUCUGUUUUUGGUAAGUAGAGUUACCUAACUACAGUAACUAUAAACACAUGCCAUCCAUUUCUAACGGCCUGGUUACUUCCUGUCAGUUAUUUUAGAAACCAUGUGGUCACCUGACCUAACACUGUUUCUUCUUCUUCCCCUUAAUGUUGAAAUGUCAAAUGUCAA